rnacentral:rRNA from 1 species
AUUGAACGCUGGCGGCGUGCCUAACACAUGCAAGUCGAGCGGGAUCCAUCCGGUAGCAAUACUGGUGAAGAUCUAGCGGCGAACGGGUGAGUAACACGUGAGAAACCUGCCCCAGACUCUGGGAUAACACGAGGAAACUCGUGCUAAUACCGGAUACCUUCUUUUGGUCGCAUGGCCAGCUGAAGAAAGAUUUAUCGGUUUGGGAGGGUCUCGCGGCCUAUCAGCUAGUUGGCGGGGUAACGGCCCACCAAGGCAUCGACGGGUAGCUGGUCUGAGAGAACGAUCAGCCACACUGGGACUGACACACGGCCCAGACUCCUACGGGAGGCAGCAGUGGGGAAUCUUGCGCAAUGGGCGAAAGCCUGACGCAGCAACGCCGCGUGCGGGAUGAAGGCCUUCGGGUUGUAAACCGCUUUCAGCAGGGAAGAAAUUGACGGUACCUGCAGAAGAAGCCCCGGCCAACUACGUGCCAGCAGCCGCCGUAACAC